GAUCGGAGUCUGCAACCCGACUCCGUGAAGCUGGAUUCGCUAGUAAUCGCGCAUCAGCCAUGGCGCGGUGAAUACGUUCCCGGGCCUUGUACACACCGCCCGUCACACCAUGGGAGUUUGUAACGCCCAAAGUCGGUGGCCUAACCUUUAUGGAGGGAGCCGCCUAAGGCGGGACAGAUGACUGGGGUAGAAGUCGUAACAAGGUACC
rnacentral:rRNA from 1 species